UGCCAGCCGCCGCGGUAAUACGGAGGGUGCAAGCGUUGUUCGGAAUCACUGGGCAUAAAGCGCACGUAGGCGGGAAACCAAGUCGGGUGUGAAACCCCUCGGCCCAACCGAGGAACUGCGCCCGAAACUGGUUUUCUUGAGGACAGAAGGGGAGCAUGGAAUUCCUGGUGGAGCGGUGAAAUGCGUUGAUAUCAGGAGGAACACCGGCGGCGAAGGCGAUGCUCUGGUCUGUUUCUGACGCUAAGGUGCGAAAGCCAGGGGAGCAAACGGGAUUAGAUA
rnacentral:rRNA from 1 species